CCUGUCAUGGGGGGUGACCAGCUUCGGUGGAUUCCUGAGAUACUGUUUGAAGCGCAACUCAAAGGCCUGACCGAUGGUGCUGAUGACAUCCUGAGCAAGCCCUUCAGGACACUCCAGGAUAUGGCAGGCUGAGGCACAGUGGAGACCACCAAUGAGCUCUGAGGCAAGGCUGUAAACCUCACCUGACAGUGUACCUGAUCCUAGUGGAGGAGUUGGCCUUGGAGGUAGGAGAAAGAAACAAACAGAAGUGGUGCCUACAAGCCACAAAGAGUUUCCUGCCACAGCUCUGCUAAAGGCCAUUCAGGAAGUUAAAGAAAGUGACCAAUCAAAAUAGCUCCAGAAUAAACUAUCGCUUUAUUCUCUUAAAAAAAGAUAGUAACCAAAUACAAGAAGUAAGAAAUA